AUUGAACGCUGGCGGCAUGCCUUACACAUGCAAGUCGAACGGCAGCAUGAUCUAGCUUGCUAGAUUGAUGGCGAGUGGCGAACGGGUGAGUAAUACAUCGGAGCGUGCCCUGUAGUGGGGGAUAACUAGUCGAAAGAUUAGCUAAUACCGCAUACGACCUGAGGGUGAAAGUGGGGGACCGCAAGGCCUCAUGCUAUAGGAGCGGCCGAUGUCUGAUUAGCUAGUUGGUGAGGUAAAGGCUCACCAAGGCGACGAUCAGUAGCUGGUCUGAGAGGACGAUCAGCCACACUGGGACUGAGACACGGCCCAGACUCCUACGGGAGGCAGCAGUGGGGAAUUUUGGAUAAUGGGGCAACCCUGAUCCAGCAAUGCCGCGUGUGUGAAGAAGGCCUUCGGGUUGUAAAGCACUUUUGUCCGGAAAGAAAUCGCACUUACUAAUAUUAGGUGUGGAUGACGGUACCGGAAGAAUAAGGACCGGCUAACUACGUGCCAGCAGCCGCCGCGGUAA
rnacentral:rRNA from 1 species